rfam:Clostridium oryzae strain DSM 28571 CLORY_contig000003, whole genome shotgun sequence.
UAACCUACAUAGUGAUAUGUAGCUGAACUAUCAGAAGUCAGCAGAAGUCAUAGUACCAUGUUAAACGCGUUAAUGUGGGAAGGAC